UACGUAGGGUCCAGGCGUUAUCCGGAAUUACUGGGUAUAAAGGGUGCGUAGGCGGCCUUGUGCGUCGAAGGUUAAAGGCCAUGGCUCAACCAUGGAAAUGCCCUCGACACGGCAAGGCUUGAAUAUGAGAGAGGAAGAUGGAAUUCCUGGUGUAGCAGUGAAAUGCGUAGAUAUCAGGAGGAACACCGGUGGCGAAGGCGGUCUUCUGGCUCAUUAUUGACGCUGAGGCACGAAAGUGUGGGGAGCGAACAGG
rnacentral:rRNA from 1 species